rnacentral:rRNA from 1 species
GAACGUACGCUGGCGGCACGCCUAACACAUGCAAGUCGAACGAAGUAGCAAUACUUAGUGGCAGACGGGUGAGUAACAUGUAGGUAUCUGCCCUUUGGCCUGGAAUAACACGAGGAAACUUGUGCUAAUACCGGAUAAGUCUUUACAGAGAAAGCUUUAUGCACCAUUGGAUGAGCCUGCACUUGAUUAGUUUGUUGGUGGGGUAAUGGCCUACCAAGACUUUGAUCAAUAGCUGAUUUGAGAGGAUGAUCAGCCACAUUGGGACUGAGACACGGCCCAAACUCCUACGGGAGGCAGCAGUGGGGAAUCUUGCACAAUGGAGGAAACUCUGAUGCAGCGAUGCCGCGUGAGUGAAGAAGGCCCUUGGGUUGUAAAGCUCUUUCGUCGGGGAAGAAAAUGACUGUACCCGAAUAAGAAGGUCCGGCUAACUUCGUGCCAGCAGCCGCGGUAAUACGAAGGGACCUAGCGUAGUUCGGAAUUACUGGGCUUAAAGAGUUCGUAGGUGGUUGAAAAAGUUGGUGGUGAAAUCCCAGAGCUUAACUCUGGAACUGCCAUCAAAACUUUUCAGCUAGAGUAUGAUAGAGGAAAGCAGAAUUUCUAGUGUAGAGGUGAAAUUCGUAGAUAUUAGAAAGAAUACCAAUUGCGAAGGCAGCUUUCUGGAUCAUUACUGACACUGAGGAACGAAAGCAUGGGUAGCGAAGAGGAUUAGAUACCCUCGUAGUCCAUGCCGUAAACGAUGUGUGUUAGACGUUGGAAAUUUAUUUUCAGUGUCGCAGCGAAAGCGAUAAACACACCGCCUGGGGAGUACGACCGCAAGGUUAAAACUCAAAUGAAUUGACGGGGACCCGCACAAGUAGUGGAGCAUGUGGUUUAAUUCGAAGAUACGCGCAGAACCUUACCAACACUUGACAUGUUCGUCGCGACUUUAAGAGAUUAAAGUUUUCGGUUCGGCCGGACGAAACACAGGUGCUGCAUGGCUGUCGUCAGCUCGUGUCGUGAGAUGUUGGGUUAAGUCCCGCAACGAGCGCAACCCUCACUUUUAGUUGCCAUCAUUAAGUUGGGCACUCUGAAAGAACUGCCAGUGAUAAGCUGGAGGAAGGUGGGGAUGACGUCAAGUCCUCAUGGCCCUUACGUGUUGGGCUACACACGUGCUACAAUGGUAUCUACAACAGGAAGCAAGACGGCGACGUUUAGCAAAUCCCCAAAAGCCGUCCCAGUUCGGAUUGUACUCUGCAACUCGAGUGCAUGAAGUUGGAAUCGCUAGUAAUCGUGGAUCAGCAUGCCACGGUGAAUACGUUCCCGGGCCUUGUACACACCGCCCGUCA